rnacentral:rRNA from 1 species
GACGAACGCUGGCGGCGUGCUUAACACAUGCAAGUCGAACGGUAAGGCCCUUCGGGGUACACGAGUGGCGAACGGGUGAGUAACACGUGGGUGACCUGCCCCCUACUCUGGGAUAAGCCUGAGAAAUUGGGUCUAAUACCGGAUAUGACUCAUGGCUGCAUGGUUGUGGGUGGAAAGCUUUUGUGGUGGGGGAUGGGCCCGCGGCCUAUCAGCUUGUUGGUGGGGUGAUGGCCUACCAAGGCUUCGACGGGUAGCCGGCCUGAGAGGGCGUCCGGCCACACUGGGACUGAGACACGGCCCAGACACCUACGGGUGGCUG